rnacentral:tRNA from 1 species
GCCUACAUGGUGAAAUAGGUAGACACGACAGACUUAAAAUCUGUUCCGUCUAGGGUGUGGGUUCAAGUCCCACUGUAGGUA